rnacentral:rRNA from 1 species
GAUGAACGCUAGCGACAGGCUUAACACAUGCAAGUCGAGGGGCAGCACAGGUAGCAAUACCGGGUGGCGACCGGCGCACGGGUGAGUAACGCGUAUGCAACUUACCUAUCAGAGGGGGAUAACCCGGCGAAAGUCGGACUAAUACCGCAUGAAGCAGGGGUCCCGCAUGGGGAUAUUUGCUAAAGAUUCAUCGCUGAUAGAUAGGCAUGCGUUCCAUUAGGCAGUUGGCGGGGUAACGGCCCACCAAACCGACGAUGGAUAGGGGUUCUGAGAGGAAGGUCCCCCACAUUGGUACUGAGACACGGACCAAACUGCUACGGGAGGCAGCAGUGAGGAAUAUUGGUCAAUGGCCGAGAGGCUGAACCAGCCAAGUCGCGUGAGGGAUGAAGGUUCUAUGGAUCGUAAACCUCUUUUAUAAGGGAAUAAAGUGCGGGACGUGUCCCGUUUUGUAUGUACCUUAUGAAUAAGGAUCGGCUAACUCCGUG